rnacentral:rRNA from 1 species
AAUGAAUAAGUGACAGCUAACUAUGUGCCAGCAGCUGCGGUAAAACAUAGGUCACGAGCAUUAUCCGGAUUUAUUGGGCGUAAAGGAAGCGUAGGCGGACAAGUUGAUCUAUUGUUAAAUACACUUGCUUAACAAGUUGUUUGUGAUGGAUAUCGCUUGUCUAGAAUUAGUUAGGAGAUACUGGAAUUCAAUGUGUAGCGGUGGAAUGCGUAGAUAUAUUGAGGAACACCAGAAGCUAAGGCGAGUAUCUAGGACAUAAUUGACGCUGAGGCUUGAAAGCGUGGGGAGCAAAUGGGAUUAGAUACCCCAGUAGUCCACGCCGUAAACGAUGAGUAUUAGGUAUUUGGUAUAAGAUUGAAUGCUGUAGCUAACGCGUUAAAUACUCCGCCUGGGUAGUAUAUAUGCAAAUAUGAAACUCAAAGAAAUUGACGGGGACCUGAACAAGUGGUGGAGCAUGUUGCUUAAUUCGAUAAUACACGCAAAACCUUACCGAGGCUUGUAAUCUUUUGCAAAACUAUAGAAAUAUAGUAGAGGCUAUCAGAAUGACAGGUGGUGCAUGGCUGUCGUCAGCUCGUGUCUUGAGAUGUUUGGUUAAGUCCCGUAACGAGCGCAACCCUACUCUUUAGUUAAACAGUUCUAAAGUGACUGAAUCGUAAGAUAUAGGAAGGUUGGGGCCAAGUCAAGUCAUCAUGCCCCUUAUGCCUCGGGCUGCAAACGUGCUACAAUGGUAGGUACAAUGUGUUGCAAUCUAGCGAUAGUGAGCAAAUCACCUAAAACCUAUCUCAGUCCGGAUAAAAGGCUGCAAUUCGCCUAUUUGA